AGCGAACGCUGGCGGCAGGCCUAACACAUGCAAGUCGAGCGGCCGUAGCAAUACGGCAGCGGCAGACGGGAGAGUAACACGUGGGAACGCGCCCUUCGGUUCGGGAUAACUCAGGGAAACUUGGGCUAAUACCGGAUACGCCCUUACGGGGAAAGAUUUAUUGCCGAAGGAACGGCCCGCGUCCGAUUAGCUUGUUGGUGAGGUAACGGCUCACCAAGGCGACGGUCGGUAGCUGGUCUGAGAGGAUGACCAGCCUCACUGGGACUGAGACACGGCCCAGACUCCUACGGGAGGCAGCAGUGGGGAAUAUUGGACAAUGGGCGCAAGCCUGAUCCAGCCAUGCCGCGUGGGUGAUGAAGGCCCUAGGGUUGUAAAGCCCUUUCAGCGGGGAAGAUAAUGACGGUACCCGCAGAAGAAGCCCCGGCUAACUCCGUGCCAGCCGCCGCAGUAACAC
rnacentral:rRNA from 1 species